GGGUUGUGAGGUUAAGCGACUAAGCGUACACGGUGGAUGCCCUGGCAGUCAGAGGCGAUGAAGGACGUGCUAAUCUGCGAUAAGCGUCGGUGAGGUGAUAUGAACCGUUAUAACCGGCGAUUUCCGAAUGGGGAAACCCAGUGUGUUUCGACACACUAUCAUUAACUGAAUCCAUAGGUUAAUGAGGCGAACCGGGGGAACUGAAACAUCUAAGUACCCCGAGGAAAAGAAAUCAACCGAGAUUCCCCCAGUAGCGGCGAGCGAACGGGGAGGAGCCCAGAGCCUGAAUCAGUGUGUGUGUUAGUGGAAGCGUCUGGAAAGGCGCGCGAUACAGGGUGACAGCCCCGUACACAAAAAUGCACAUAUUGUGAGCUCGAUGAGUAGGGCGGACACGUGGUAUCCUGUCUGAAUAUGGGGACCAUCCUCAAGGCUAAAUACUCUGACUGACCGAUAGUGAACCAGUACCGUGAGGAAGGCGAAAGAACCCCGGCGAGGGUGAAAAGAACCUGAAACCGUGUACGUACAAGCAGUGGAGCCUCUUAAUGGGGUGACUGCGUACCUUUGUAUAAUGGGUCAGCGACUUAUAUUCUGUAGCAAGGUUAACCGAAUAGGGGAGCCGAAGGGAAACCGAGUCUUAACUGGGCGUUAAGUUGCAGGGUAUAGACCCGAAACCCGGUGAUCUAGCCAUGGGCAGGUUGAAGGUUGGGUAACACUAACUGGAGGACCGAACCGACUAAUGUUGAAAAAUUAGCGGAUGACUUGUGGCUGGGGGUGAAAGGCCAAUCAAACCGGGAGAUAGCUGGUUCUCCCCGAAAGCUAUUUAGGUAGCGCCUCGUGAAUUCAUCUCCGGGGGUAGAGCACUGUUUCGGCAAGGGGGUCAUCCCGACUUACCAACCCGAUGCAAACUGCGAAUACCGGAGAAUGUUAUCACGGGAGACACACGGCGGGUGCUAACGUCCGUCGUGAAGAGGGAAACAACCCAGACCGCCAGCUAAGGUCCCAAAGUCAUGGUUAAGUGGGAAACGAUGUGGGAAGGCCCAGACAGCCAGGAUGUUGGCUUAGAAGCAGCCAUCAUUUAAAGAAAGCGUAAUAGCUCACUGGUCGAGUCGGCCUGCGCGGAAGAUGUAACGGGGCUAAACCAUGCACCGAAGCUGCGGCAGCGACACUAUGUGUUGUUGGGUAGGGGAGCGUUCUGUAAGCCUGUGAAGGUGUACUGUGAGGUAUGCUGGAGGUAUCAGAAGUGCGAAUGCUGACAUAAGUAACGAUAAAGCGGGUGAAAAGCCCGCUCGCCGGAAGACCAAGGGUUCCUGUCCAACGUUAAUCGGGGCAGGGUGAGUCGACCCCUAAGGCGAGGCCGAAAGGCGUAGUCGAUGGGAAACAGGUUAAUAUUCCUGUACUUGGUGUUACUGCGAAGGGGGGACGGAGAAGGCUAUGUUGGCCGGGCGACGGUUGUCCCGGUUUAAGCGUGUAGGCUGGUUUUCCAGGCAAAUCCGGAAAAUCAAGGCUGAGGCGUGAUGACGAGGCACUACGGUGCUGAAGCGACAAAUGCCCUGCUUCCAGGAAAAGCCUCUAAGCAUCAGGUAACAUCAAAUCGUACCCCAAACCGACACAGGUGGUCAGGUAGAGAAUACCAAGGCGCUUGAGAGAACUCGGGUGAAGGAACUAGGCAAAAUGGUGCCGUAACUUCGGGAAGGCACGCUGAUAUGUAGGUGAAGCGACUUGCUCGUGGAGCUGAAAUCAGUCGAAGAUACCAGCUGGCUGCAACUGUUUAUUAAAAACACAGCACUGUGCAAACACGAAAGUGGACGUAUACGGUGUGACGCCUGCCCGGUGCCGGAAGGUUAAUUGAUGGGGUUAGCGGUAACGCGAAGCUCUUGAUCGAAGCCCCGGUAAACGGCGGCCGUAACUAUAACGGUCCUAAGGUAGCGAAAUUCCUUGUCGGGUAAGUUCCGACCUGCACGAAUGGCGUAAUGAUGGCCAGGCUGUCUCCACCCGAGACUCAGUGAAAUUGAACUCGCUGUGAAGAUGCAGUGUACCCGCGGCAAGACGGAAAGACCCCGUGAACCUUUACUAUAGCUUGACACUGAACAUUGAGCCUUGAUGUGUAGGAUAGGUGGGAGGCUUUGAAGUGUGGACGCCAGUCUGCAUGGAGCCGACCUUGAAAUACCACCCUUUAAUGUUUGAUGUUCUAACGUGGGCCCCUUACCGGGGUUGCGGACAGUGUCUGGUGGGUAGUUUGACUGGGGCGGUCUCCUAAAGUAACGGAGGAGCACGAAGGUUGGCUAAUCCUGGUCGGACAUCAGGAGGUUAGUGCAAUGGCAUAAGCCAGCUUGACUGCGAGCGUGACGGCGCGAGCAGGUGCGAAAGCAGGUCAUAGUGAUCCGGUGGUUCUGAAUGGAAGGGCCAUCGCUCAACGGAUAAAAGGUACUCCGGGGAUAACAGGCUGAUACCGCCCAAGAGUUCAUAUCGACGGCGGUGUUUGGCACCUCGAUGUCGGCUCAUCACAUCCUGGGGCUGAAGUAGGUCCCAAGGGUAUGGCUGUUCGCCAUUUAAAGUGGUACGCGAGCUGGGUUUAGAACGUCGUGAGACAGUUCGGUCCCUAUCUGCCGUGGGCGCUGGAGAACUGAGGGGGGCUGCUCCUAGUACGAGAGGACCGGAGUGGACGCAUCACUGGUGUUCGGGUUGUCAUGCCAAUGGCACUGCCCGGUAGCUAAAUGCGGAAGAGAUAAGUGCUGAAAGCAUCUAAGCACGAAACUUGCCCCGAGAUGAGUUCUCCCUGACUCCUUGAGAGUCCUGAAGGAACGUUGAAGACGACGACGUUGAUAGGCCGGGUGUGUAAGCGCAGCGAUGCGUUGAGCUAACCGGUACUAAUGAACCGUGAGGCUUAACCUUACAACGCCGAAG
rnacentral:rRNA from 1 species